CUACGGGAGGCAGCAGUAGGGAAUCUUCCGCAAUGGGCGAAAGCCUGGCGGAGCGACGCCGCGUGAGCGAAGAAGGUCUUCGGAUCGUAAAGCUCUGUUGUUAGGGAAGAAGAAGCGUCGUUCGAACAGGGCGGCGCGGUGACGGUACCUAACGAGAAAGCCCCGGCUAACUACGUGCCAGCAGCCGCGGUAAU
rnacentral:rRNA from 1 species